UGACAUCCACAGAAGAAUCCAGAGAUGGAUUUGUGCCUUCGGGAACUGUGAGACAGGUGCUGCAUGGCUGUCGUCAGCUCGUGUUGUGAAAUGUUGGGUUAAGUCCCGCAACGAGCGCAACCCUUAUCCUUUGUUGCCAGCGAUUAGGUCGGGAACUCAAAGGAGACUGCCAGUGAUAAACUGGAGGAAGGUGGGGAUGACGUCAAGUCAUCAUGGCCCUUACGACCAGGGCUACACACGUGCUACAAUGGCGCAUACAAAGAGAAGCGACCUCGCGAGAGCAAGCGGACCUCAUAAAGUGCGUCGUAGUCCGGAUUGGAGUCUGCAACUCGACUCCAUGAAGUCGGAAUCGCUAGUAAUCGUGGAUCAGAAUGCCACGGUGAAUACGUUCCCGGGCCUUGUACACACCGCCCGUCACACCAUGGGAGUGGGUUGCAAAAGAAGUAGGUAGCUUAACCUUCGGGAGGGCGCUUACCACUUUGUGAUUCAUGACUGGGGUGAAGUCGUAACAAGGUAACCGUAGGGGAACCUGCGGUUGGA
rnacentral:rRNA from 1 species